rnacentral:lncRNA from 1 species
GCUAAAACAGACAAACAAAACCAAGCCAACAAGUGAGCUUGGCAUGGUUGUACUUAGCAAUCCACUACUUAGAAUGCUGGGCUACAGGGGAAGAUCCUGUCGAAAUAAAAAUAAACAAACUAGGAAGGGAAGAAGGCAAGGAGAUAGGAAUGGUUCCUCAAAGGUGAGGAAGCAGGAUGGGAGAGAAAUCUCCUUGCAUGUAAAGCGACGUCAAGACAUCCCUGUCUCUGUGCACUUGACAGAGCACUGCACUGCUGUGUCCUCAAAGCUGGAUAAACACUGGAGUGUUUUCAUCGGAUUCAGAAAAGCAUAGCAAAAGCAGCAGAGACCUCGUCAGGGACAUUUUCUUCUUUAGUCUCACUAAAGAGAGCAAAAAUAAUCUCUUAUUAUUCAA